rnacentral:lncRNA from 1 species
UAUGUUCCAUGAAAAUCCAUUUGUAUUUUAAAUGUAUGGAAGCUGAGGAGGAUUUUAUUAAAAUUGAAAGCACUUCUUCAUAUGAUGGUUUGUUGAUGUCAUUAAUUUUUAGAUACAUAGAAUUUUCCUGCUAUAGUGCUGAUAAGGUUAAACGUUUAUUCUACUGGCAGCGUAUAUGUAGUAUUCAAACUUUGCUAUAUUUUUUUCUCUCUUGCCACCUUCUUUCAUCUCAUUAGAUUUUACCAUCUUGUAUUUGUCACAGUAUAGCCCAGGCAGCUCUUGUGCCAUAAAAUCCCACAAAACAACAAUAAUAAUAGCUGACCUUAGGCCUAGUAAUGGAACGAUGAAUAGAUGUGAUAUGAUCUAGUCUAUCAUAGAAAUACUUCUUGGCUUUCUUAUGAAUCUUAUUAAAUCUUUGAUCAAAAAAACCAUUUUGAUGUGCAAUUUAUAUAAUAUAAUUAAUCUCAUCAUAUGUAUCAGAUAGUUAUGUGCUGUAU